GCCGGCUCCAGUCUCCAAGCCGGUUGGAGAGACGUAUGGCCGUGCAGUAAACAACAUAAUAACAGGAACUAGUUCGUUUAAAUCGAUCGGAGCGAGGUGGCGGGCGCGACGUGAGCGGCGGGCGCGUCAUGUGGGUACCGGCGCACAUGACGCACUUAGGUAUCCGUCUGUUGCAGACUACACGCUCAUAAUAAAUGCCAAGAUGGAGUUAGAUGUACUUGCUGAAUCAAAAGAACUAGUUCCUGUGAAGAAUUCUCAUCGAAGCAGCGCUUUCGACUCGUUCAUAACUAACUCAAACUUGGACUAUUUGCCAAAUCCAAGAGAAACUCAAGAAAUAAUUUGGCAACGAGUAAUGGUCGAGUAGCCGGGAUUGUCAUCAGCGCAAAAACCAGGAAAUAAUUCGUGAAAAAGCUUGAAAAGUGAACGAAAUGGUUUCGGAGUCUUCGAAGAAGAUCUGGUCAGCAGCGGCUCAGCAGUGGGACUGCCAAGCCUGGCGCGAAGCUGGCACCGCCUUGAUACCUUCCGAACAAAUAUCGGCCACAGUGCAAGGGACAUUGGCAAAUGAGAUAUUUGUACGGAAGGUACAAUAGUGCGAGCAAGUACAAGUUGUCGAAAGGAAUAGGAGAAAUGAUAAGCACAAAAUCAACUGUGUUUAGUGUUUAAAAAGUUUCUGAAAGCAUGUAAAACCAAAAUUGUAAUGGACAAAAUCAACCAUCUUAAUGAGGGGUGUGUAGCACACUCCUAUAUGCCAGCGUUUAAUCAACUCUUUCAUAACAUAAAUAGUUAAAGACAGGCGUUUCUAGAAAAGCAUUUAUUGUUCUAGGACAGGGAAAUCUAGCAAUAUUAGGAAUGGUGGAGGCUUUAUCAAGAUCGUAAAACAUAGACACGUAGGGGGAAGUAUUAUAUAGUCAUAGUAAAGAACCCAAUGCCUCCAAAAUAACAUGUUCACUGUCUGAAAGUAAAUGCUCAAAAUUUUCAGUAAAAUUAAUAAAAAUAAUACAAUUACUUUGCAUGCUAGAACCACGCCACUUUGAACGGCGAAAAUACGAAAUUUAAUUAUUGAAUUGUACGUCUGUCUAAUUAUAACUAAGAAGAUUGUUUGACAACUUAUAUUAGUGUGUCUGGCGUUAUUUACUUUCCUUUUCUUCUAUGUCCUAUGAUCAAGAUAUGUAUAUAUUUUUAUAAAAAAAAUAUAAAUGUUAUAUUCUAUCUACGUUGGAUGCUACUAAGCUGAUAUGUCAGUCGAUCGCACGCAGUCCCGUCGAGGAGUGCGGCAGCGUCGUUGACAAGAAAUGAAAUUUCUUUGAAAACUAUUUGUAAAAUCUCUGAAAUAUCGUGAGUAUGCUUGGGAAAUGGGUUGGAGAAAAUGGUUUUGGGAAAAAAGUUUGGAAUAUGGAUUUGGGUAAAAAAUGGAUUAGGAAAUAUUUAACUCGUUCUAUUAAUGUUACAUUUUUCGUCGUCAAAUAGUGCCUAGUUCCUAGGUACCUAGGUUCCUAGGUACCCAUAGUAAUGGUACUAUAGUAGUUCCUGUAGCCUACCAUGAGGCACUUUAUGAUAAAAGCUUUCCUUGUAAAACAUAGUUCAGAAUAUCCUCACUUGACACUUAUUUGCAUUGUAUUCAUGUUGAUAAAUUGUGUGCCUUUUUCUAAUAAAUUCCAUGGAUAGCCCA